AUGUCGACGAUGCCUUCGCUUCUUCCUGCCUCCACGGGUCUAGUCAGCUCAAACGUCUCCCUGUUUUGACCGGGAUAUUUAUGAUUUAUGUUUCUAUUCACGACAGCAGCAGAUAAAAAAUUUCCAAUAUGGCAUCUCGAGCAGGCCCACGAGCCUCGGGCACGGAUGGCAGUGACUUCCAGCACCGAGAGAAGGUCGCCUCACACUACCAGAUGAGCGUGGCCCUGAAGUCUGAAAUCCGUAAACUCAACAUCGUCCACGUCCUGAUCUGGGUCCUGAUGGCAGCUCAGGUGAUUGUGAGCCAGCUGAGCCUGGUGUCCCACAAGAUGGUUUGCUCUCCAUACCAGUGGGAGUACCCCUACCUGCUGAGCAUAAUUCCCACAGUCUUCAGCUUCUCGGCUUUCCCCCGCAACAACAUAAGCUACUUGGUGGUCUCCAUGAUCAGCGGCGGGCUGUUCUGCAUCGCCCCUCUGAUCUACGGCAGCAUGGAAAUGUUCCCCGUGGCACACCAGCUCUACCGGCACGGCAAAUCGUACCGCUUCAUCUUCGGUUUCGCCGCCGUGACCGUCAUGUACCUGGUGAUCAUCAUCGCUGUGCAGGUGCACGUCUGGCAGAUCUACUACAGCAAGAAGCUGCUGGACCAGUGGUUCACCAGCACGCAGGACAAGAAGAAGAAAUGAGUCUGCCCGAAGCACAGACUGAGAGAAGAGACUCUCAAAAGUAUUGGUCUUUUUCUAUAUUUAUAUUUGACAGUGAUGACAUCAUUGUUGAUACAAAAAAAAUACUGGACUUCUGCCAUCACUCUGUAAAUUAAAGGAUAAAAGGUGGAGUCUGAGACCCCCCCCCCCUCUAGAUUUUAGACUGCCUAUCUCUUUACACUUACAUGGCCUUUCUAAUGUUUGUAGUGUGUUAUGUGCUUGUAUUGCAGAGUUAAAAGCUUCAUUCAUAACAUUUAAACUUUGACCUUCAGAGUCCCUGCAGCGUUUUUUCCUGGUGAAAAUGUCUCUCCUGGCUCCGCCCCUAAUCCUCUACUGAACUGUAAACGCCUUGUGUUUGUACCUCGUUAUUUCAGGUACUGACAGUGUAAACACACCAGGUCUAACUGGAAGAAGACUGUGAUGACAUGUAAGGUACUGCCACACUUAUUUCCCUGACUGUUCAAAGUGCAGGAGGGUAUUCAUUAAUGAAGUCCCUGUACCUUUCCUCUAUGGGACCUUCAGGCACCAGCUGACAAAGUUCCUCAUCAGCAGCUUCACAGCUUCCUCUGGACUUUUAUGAGUUUAAGAAUGUCUGUCAGAAACGGAAUCUUACAUUAAAUAACUUUCAGCUCUUUUGUU